GCAGAAUCGUUUGUCUUUCUUUCUCUCUCUCUCUCUCUUUUUUUUAAUUCAGUGAAAGUUCCUGAGAUGACCACUCACGGUUCCAGACGUUUUUGACGGUUUCUUUAAAGAGGUGAUGUUUAAUACCAGUGUUUAUUUAUAUUCGUAGAAAUAUUUGCUACAUUCAGGGGUGGUUAGCAUGAGAGGUUUAAUCGAAUAUAAAGUGUUAACUAAUAGUUACACUGAUUUGAAAGACGAAGACUUCAAAAAACUGAGCAGAGAGAAAUCUGAAAUUUUUAAAGUCGUGUUGUAGAAUCAAAAUAAUUAAUUUCAAAUAUAAACCAUCCAGAUAAAUUUAGCCACAUUUUCGUCACAGCAAAAAUUUUAAUAUGCAUCCGUAAUUUAAUGUGGGAAGAGAAACUGCGGUUAUAAAUUAAAUUUGUUUCCGAAUUAAGAAACAACGCAAGACUUGCGAGAAAUGCUGUCUUUCACAAUGUGUCUACCCUACGUGACAAUCUGCACAUUUCGCUUUUCCUUGCGGAAAAUCAGAUUACCUUGACGACCGACCCUGACUCAAACUGCUGACACAGCUCCAUCCCUUAUCAGCGACAGUUUUCAAAAAAGAGCUUAUAGAAACUGCACCUCCCGCCACUGGAGGGCGGGAUGAUGAAACCGCUCCCCAUGAAAUCUAAAAUAAAAUUCCGCCUGCAGAAGAGGCGGCAUUUCUUGCAGUGUUCAACGGCAAUGAUUUAGUGAAAGAAUAAUUCUUUCAACAUUCUUGAAGCAUAUCUCGUCGUUCUUUGCAAAAAAGGAAGUCGGCUGUUAAAAGAGGCUAGUGUUAAUCGGUCCGCGUUUUUCUAAUGUCGUUGUUGUUACUUAUUGGAUUAAUCUUGAAAAGUAUGAUGAAAUAACAUACAGCGUUAUUCGAAAGAUAUAAUUGUGCAUAAAAUGAACUCUCAAAGUGAUGAUAUAGUGACAUCCUUCACACACAAAAAAAAAAAAGACAUGUAAAUUAUUGAUUUUUGAAAAUUGAGCGAUUCAUACAUAUGUGACAAAAUUGCUCGCGUGGUAGAUGCAUAAAGAAGCAAAAACUUGCAGAUGAAUUUGGACAUGAUUUAUGACGUAACUUGUUAGAUGGAUGCGUAAAGAAGGAGAGACUUGCAGACGUAGCCGAAUUCACUUAUUUCCUUUUCAUUUAUGCAUAUUUGCUUGACACACGUUUCACUAGGCUAACAAAAGUAAAACGAGCGUUACACCGCCCUCGUCUUAAAGAAUUAUCAUACUGAUAAAGAAGUGGAAAGUUGCAAAAGUAUGAAGCAACCGAGAAGCAGCUCAUUCAGAUGAAGCGUGCGGAAGAGAAAUACAAAAGUUUCGGUUCUUAAUAAAAGUCUUAUUCAAUGAUUAAUUAAAGGUAUUUACAUUGCUGCGUUACAUAAGAUUUUAUGAUGCGGAUUAAUUUUGAAAUGACGCAGUUUAGAUUAUUAAUAUAGUAUGUAUAGUUACUGUUUUUAGGACAAAAAGUGAAAACACGCAAAAUAAAAUGAAGGAUAAAAGGAGCUAUUACCAAUUAAAUGUUUUUCGUUCCCGACAAUCCAUAAAAUCAAAAGAAUAUGUUUAGCGGCGUAUUGGGGUAUGAUACGAGAAUGGUGGACUUUCGACCCUCGACCUCUUCCUUGAAAAAUUCCUGCGUGGACCACUGGUUGAAUGUUAUGCAUGCCUUCGUAGUGUAGCAGUCAGCACGCCCGGCGCGUAUUCGAGAGGCCCGUGGUUCGAGUCCUGACGAAGACGUAGCUCAUUUUUCAUCUCUCCUGCUUCCGAAAUCACCUAAUGUUCCUACAAGAUAAUACUGGAUAUUUUAAAGGCUGUGGAGUAAGACAGAAUUUGGUGUUUAGUUCUAUAAGAUUUCAUCUUCGACUGUUAUAAUGAAAACAUGAUUCUGUUUACACCACCCCCAUCACGUUAUCAUGGACUCCGAACUUCAACUUACAGGACUGCUAGACUGUAUUAAGUGAUGAAAUUUGGUUUAUUCCAUAUGUUGUUACUCUGAUGAUUACUAGAAAAAUUUCCCUUUUAUGUAAUUAUUUCCGCAAUUUUGUACAUUUAAUGUUUUCUUCAGCAUUUCUAACCUGAAAUCUCACAACGUAUCAACGACUACUUCACACCUCACGUGACAAGGUAACACGCUCUCUCAACAUCUGCAAUCCUGACUUAGGUCUCACUCAUGCAUUCUCCUACUUUCAGCGCUCUAUAGAAACUAACUCAGACAGCCGGAAAAAACGUGCAAAUCCUGCAAGUUAAUCAGCGGGCAUCCAGCGGAACUUGGAGUCAGUGUGUGCGUGUGUCUAGUUAGUAUCGAGUCAGUGUCUCAUCUAGUCAGUCGAUCGAGUUCACAGCCGGGCAGCGAGCGCCGAGAGGGUCGUCGAGUGCAUCUUACUAAAAUUCGAGUUCGUCGAGAGAGUAUGUUAUGCUCCGGGAACGACUGAACCGAAGAGUCGAGAGCUGUGAUGUGUGUGUCGUCGAGUGCAUCGCGAGUUGUAGCGUGGGGAAUCUCAAAAGUACGUGGAGUUCCGAGAACGACCGAGCAGAGUCGG